rnacentral:rRNA from 1 species
AUUGAACGCUGGCGGCAGGCCUAACACAUGCAAGUCGAACGAGUGGCGGACGGGUGAGUAAUGUCUGUGAAACUGCCCGAUGGAGGGGGAUAACUACUGGAAACUGUAGCUAAUACCGCAUACCAUCGGAUGUGCCUAGAUGGGAUUGGCUAGUAGGUGGGGUAAAGGCUAACCUCGGCGACGUUCCCUAGCUGGUCUGAGAGGAUGACCAGCCACACUGGAACUGAGACACGGUCCAGACUCCGACGGGAGGCAGCAGUGGGGAAUAUUGCACAAUGGGCGCAAGCCUGAUGCAGCCAUGCCGCGUGUAUGAAGAAGGCCUUCGGGUUGUAAAGUACUUUGAGCGAGGAGGCGUUACUCGCAGAAGAAGCACCGGCUAACUCCGUGCCAGCAGCCGCGGUAAUAC